rnacentral:rRNA from 1 species
GACGUAGGGCGCGAGCGUUGUCCGGAUUUAUUGGGCGUAAAGAGCUCGUAGGCGGCUUGUCGCGUCAACUGUGAAAACCCGUGGCUCAACCAUGUGGUCUGCAGUCGAUACGGGCAGGCUAGAAUUCGGUAGGGGAGACUGGAAUUCCUGGUGUAGCGGUGAAAUGCGCAGAUAUCAGGAGGAACACCGGUGGCGAAGGCGGGUCUCUGGAAAGUUCCUGACACUGAGGCACGGAAGGCCAGGGGAGCAAACG